CAGCAGCCGCGGGAAUACGAAGGGGGCUAGCGUUGUUCGGAAUUACUGGGCGUAAAGGGCGUGUAGGCGGCCUGGGGCGUCCCAUGUGAAAGGCCACGGCUCAACCGUGGAGGAGCGUGGGAUACGCUCAGGCUAGAGGGUGGGAGAGGGUGGUGAAAUUCCCGGAGUAGCGGUGAAAUGCGCAGAUACCGGGAGGAACGCCGAUGGCGAAGGCAGCCACCUGGUCCACUUCUGACGCUGAGGCGCGAAAGCGUGGGGAGCAAACCGGAUUAGAUACCCCGGUAGUCCCUGUCUCUUAUAC
rnacentral:rRNA from 1 species